rnacentral:rRNA from 1 species
UUUUGUGGGGUGCUCGAGUGGCGAACGGGUGAGUAACACGUGAGUAACCUGCCCUUGACUUUGGGAUAACUUCAGGAAACUGGGUCUAAUACCGGAUAGGAGCCAUCUUUAGUGUGGUGGUUGGAAAGUUUUUUCGGUGUAGGAUGAGCUCGCGGCCUAUCAGCUUGUUGGUGGGGUAAUGGCCUACCAAGGCGGCGACGGGUAGCCGGCCUGAGAGGGUGUACGGCCACAUUGGGACUGAGAUACGGCCCAG